GAACAACUCUCAGCAACGGAUAUCUUGGCUCCUGCAGCGAUACGUUAUGUGAAUUGCAGAAUUCCGCGAAUCAUCGAGUCUUUGAACGCAACUUGCGCCCGAGGCUUGUCCGAGGGCAUUUCCGCUAGAGCGUCACC
rnacentral:rRNA from 1 species